rnacentral:lncRNA from 1 species
CGCGGGCUGGCCUCGCUCGUCCGUCGCCGCGUUCCCGAGGUCCGGGAGCGCGCUUCGAGGCGGCGCUCGGCCCUCUGCAGGCCGGGGCCCAGCGCCUGAGGUUGCCUCGGAGCGCGGGAGGGCGUGAUCCCGGCGCCCUCCUGGCGGCUUGGGCCGCGGUCGCCCAGAGCGAGUGACCGGAACCCGCCUUCUGGCGGGGAGCCCCCGGGCCGUGCGGUGCCGGGCCUCCGCGACAGGGGCCCUGGUGCCGGGCCUCGGCCUCUGCGCAGUCGGUAGGCCUCGUGGCCCCAGGAGAAAGCUGUAGUUGUGGGCACAAAUACAGCUUGCAAGGUGAUGUGCAGCUCUCCGUUACUGUAACUGCCCCCAAGUGACCAUCUCGGGGCUUUGCUCGUGGUAAGAAAGCUCUAGGACAGUUCAGCCUCCCAGCGGAGGGUGGAGAAAUGCCCACCAGAGAGGUCGUCACGCCCAGGGAGAAGGCGCACUGUCACCUACUCAUGGAGUGAAGCAGCGUCGGCAGCCAGCAACGUUUAGAUGACAAAAUCACGAGUCAAGAUUAUUUGACAGGACUAUUUAGAACGUGCAACAAUGUUACAAUAGAAGCCUGGCGUAUAAACAUCUCUUAAUAUUGAUUUUACAAGUACAAGUGGGAGACAUAAGCCUGAACAAAAAGUCUUUAUCAGAAGGUUCUGGUAUAUAAUCCUACGUGGGAUUGAUUUUAAAAGGUAGACUCCAAUUCAGAGAACAAGCAGUCUCAUUGCUUUGUACCAGUUGGACCUCACCGGGAGUCCUGAGCUCCAGGAGAGAGAGGCCCCUGGGGAGCAUCAGGGUAACCUGUGCCAGAAUCUGGCUUGCCUUUUCUGCACCAGGGAAGCUUGGGGGCUGGGGGCUGUCAGAACAAUGCUUGUCCUCGGCCAGUAAAAGCAAAAGUGGCUCAGGAGAGUUAUGUACAAUAAAAGAAAGGUCCUUAGCUGUGCAGGUGGAGCAUUGAACAGAGCAAACAGGGAAGGAGGAAUGUUCCCAACACCAGGGAACAUCCACUUGGGGCUUCACCGAAGGCAUUUAAGGAGAAUCCCAAUCUGAAAAAAACAAGCCCCAGUGGCGGAAGAAACCAAUCCCUAGAAAUGAAGACAUCCUCAAAGACUCAAAAUCUAGAAUUAGUAGAAGUCCGGCCAGUGACUAAUGAUAAAAUACAGAAAAAGCAAUUACUUAGAUUCGCUAACAGUAGCAUUGAGCACUGACUAUGUAGUAGGCACUGAGCUGAGUGUAUGCAUUAGGGCACAUGAUAGAAUAGCCCAACCACAUUAGCCAGAAAACACCUCAAAUAUUAAAUGUAACUCCGAGUCCCAGUAAAACCUGGGAAUUGACAAAAUCAUUGACAGUGUCAUCUGGAAGAAUAAACAUUUGAGAACAGUCAAAAAGAAAAGUAAUGAAGGAAAACUCAUAGAAAACAUAUUAUCUAAACUCCAAUAUGAAAACAUGCUGACCCAGGCUGACAUCCAGCAUGCCUGUGUGCCUCUUCCAGCCUGGUCCUUGCCUGUGCAGCAGCAAUUGUUCAGUAUUUUUUAAUAUCACCCCAGUAAUGACUUAAAAUGCAAAAAGGUGAGUUCAAAUCAUAACACAAUGCGAGAGAGUAUGUGCUAAUCAUUUGAAGAGUAAAGAAUAACACUGAAUUUGUACCUUAUCAAAUUAAAUGAAGUUUUAAAUGUUAAAUGUACUAAGGAAAAACUUAGUGGAUGUUUCUAUAAGAGUUAUGGAAUAGAGAAUGCCAUCAACAAUCAUAAAUGGAAAUAUUGAUAAUAUGACCAUGAAUUAAAAUGUUGGGUACAAUCAACAGGAAAUUGGAUAAUUCCUAAUUGUGGAAUAUAAGGGAAUACUAUUUAGCAAUAAAAAAGAAUGAACUAUGACCAGUGGAUGAAUGUCAGCAUCAUAAUGACGUUGGCUGAAAGAGACAUUUUAUGACCAUUAGCAUGAAACUCGAGCCAGCCAACUACCUGUGCAGGGCAGAGAUCAGAAGGGGUUCUUCCUUGGGAUGGAUGAGCAGAGGGUUGACUGGGGCACCAAGAACUUCCUGGAGGGAAGGGAAUGAUGCACAUCUGGACUGGAGUAUAGGUCACACAGAUGAACACCUGUCUGAUCUCCUUGACUCUUAACAGUUGUGCCUGUGCAGGGAGAUUUUGCCAAGAGAAAGCAAUAGUGACCCAGUUUGAAGAGGAAGGAGGAACUGUUUGUGCAUCAGAACACGGAUAAAAUUAAAAGUGGGAAAGUGUGUGCCUGUUUCAUAAAGCUAAUCUCCUUUACAGGAAAGAGAGCUUUCAAUGCUGAGACAAAAACGUGCAUUCCAAAAGCAAGACGGAGACAAGGACUGAGAAAACACAACACCCAAUAAACAUGACAGAAUGUUCUCUUCCCUAAUAACAGGAGAAACGCAAGGCUUUCUCUGUUUGAUAAAAGCAAAUGUGAAGAAAUAAGCAUCAUUGCACAUGAACUGAGUGUCAACUGAGAGGAACUUCUGGAUGGUUACUUAACUACAAGCACAAAUAAAACCUUAAAAUUUUGUGUAUUCUUUCACAUAGUGAUUCCACUUCCAUAACUUGAUCCUAAUAAAUAUGGAUGUUGAUAAACAUUAAGCUUAAUGUUUCACAGAAAAAAAGGCAGGGGGUUGGAAUGAACAUACAACUACGGGAUUUUCUAUCUUGGAAAAAAGUUAAGUUUACAGUUGUAAGGAAACAGGAAGACUACAAAACAUCAUGCAAUAUAAUUUUUAUAAAUAAAAACAAAAAAAAAGAUGAGAAAAAGUAAUCAAAAUGUUCCCAGUGGUUUCUUCUGAAAAUGACGAAAGAUCGCUGUUUCCUAUUUGUUCAUCUGGUAUUAGUUUGUAGCCA